CCUGCGGGCUCUGUACGGCCUGAUGCUGUGCUGCUCGCUCAUCGCCAACUCGCCCAAGGCCAGCGCCCAGAAGAAGAAGGAGAACACCAGGAUCGGCCAGUGGGCGGCACAGUGUAUAUCGGAAAAGUACUCGGAGGCCAUCGGCGAGGACGACGACCGACUGCCCGUGGAGCAGUUGCUGGGCGCGCUAACCCUCAGCUAGUGCAUCUGUGACCCUGACCUCUGGCUGAUCCCGAUCAAGGGUCAGCUGCUCGCGGCGCCGGGGCAGACGGCCAGGCGGGCCGCCGUCCUGGACCUCUGCCGGCGCCCGCCGGCGAGCCAGGCGGCGGCUCUUUGAAGCGGCUCGGUGUCGUGUCAAGAGGUCACCCUGGGCGCGCUGUGUCUGUCGCGGUGAUUCGCGGGGCUAUGAGUCAGUGAAGGGCGAUUAGUCUGAUGUGGGGUCGUCCGUGUCGGCGUUGGACAUCGUGGAAGACUUGUGGAGCGAAAACGUGGGGUUCAUUGACCGUAGACGUGGGCGGGCAGUGCUUCUUUCGCGC
rnacentral:lncRNA from 1 species